GUUCAGGUUCAGAAGUGCUCUAGGUGUCAGAAAGGGAAUGAAUUCGGAUCGAGUCGUUAUAGAAGUGACGCGCCACAGUUGGUUACAGGGGGACUGGUGGAGAGUUCGGUGAGAACCGGCGGCGAUUUAACGGGACUUCCUCCGGUAUGGGCCUGUUAGCGCGCGUGCGGAAGGAAUGGUUCAUUAUCGGUAUCGCGCUCGCGAUCGCUUCGGCCAAGCUCGCGCCGUCUGUGGGGGUGAAAGGAGGUCCUCUUCUGCCCGAGGUCACCAUCACCUAUAUUGCAGUGUCUGUCAUCUUCUUUAACAGCGGGUUAUCCUUAAAGACUGAGGAGUUGGCGAGUGCGUUACUGCACGUGAAGUUACAUCUGUUUGUUCAGACGUUCACUCUGAUUUUUUUCCCUGUGGCCAUCUGGACUCUUCUCAAAAUCUUGUCACUCACUGCAAUUAAUGAAUGGCUUCUUAAAGGGUUACAGACAGUGGGUUGUAUGCCUCCUCCUGUGUCGUCUGCUGUCAUCCUCACUAAAGCUGUUGGGGGAAAUGAGGCUGCCGCCAUUUUCAACUCAGCGUUUGGAAGCUUUCUGGGGAUCGUCGUCACACCACUGCUGCUGUUGCUGUUUGUUCUGAAUCUGCCAUUCAUUCUAAUACGUCAUUGGGUGCAACUUUACACUUGGAUCAUCCUCCGCAGUACCGUUCUCGUCCAUCUUCUCUCAGCUCUUCAUGACUGUAGUUGUUCCUCUUAUAGUUGGGCAGGUGUGUAGGAGGUUCCUGAGGGAGUGGCUGGAGAGGAGGAAGCCUCCGUUUGGCACCGUGAGCAGCGUCGUUCUGCUCAUGAUCAUCUACACCACCUUCUGUGACACCUUCUCCAACCCCGACAUCGAGCUGGACCACCUCAGCCUCCUCAUCAUCGUCUUUAUCAUUUUUACCAUUCAAUUCACAUUCAUGCUACUGACUUUCUUCUUGUCUACCAGGAAGUCUUCAGGCUUCACAGCAGCUGAUUCUGUAGCAAUACUUUUUUGCUCUACACACAAAUCCCUCACUUUGGGUAUUCCCAUGCUGAAGAUUGUAUUCGCAGGCUUUGAGCAUCUCUCGCUCAUCACAGUGCCUCUGCUCAUCUAUCACCCUGCUCAGAUCCUCCUGGGCAGCAUCCUGGUGCCGACCAUCAAAGCCUGGAUGAACACGAGUCAGAAGGUCCUGAAACUGACCAACCUGCAGCCCAUCUGAGAGGACUGAAUUAAUUUACCUCAGAAAUAGAACCCAAAUUUGACGACCUGCAGUGUUCCAUCAUCACUGGUGAAGGAUGAGGGACGUUUCCUGGGAAGAAGAGAUGACCAAGUGCCUUAACACAACUAGCGGGACCUCAGGCAGCUUCAGCAGCUUGCCUUCCUCUCCCUCUCUCUCUCUGUCUCUCUUUCUCUUUCUCUCUCUCUCUGUCUCUCUCUCUGUCUCCCUCUCUCUCUCUGCCUAUAGUGUGUAUAUUCCUGUAUGCUCUCUCUCUCCCCCUCUCUCUUUCUGUCUCUCUCUCUCUCUCUCUGUGUCUAUAGUGUGUAUAUUUCUGUAUGCUCUCUCUCUCUCUUUCUCUCCCUCUUUUUCUCUCUGCAGGGAAAAUACUUUUACAAGCUCGAAGUUAUUCCAUGAGCGUGUUGUUUUUUUUAAAUAAAUGUGAAUGUACAGCUUUAUUUUUAUAUGAAGCGCUUUAAGCUUUGCACAAAAUGAGAACAUUCUCUCUCUCUCUCUCUCUCUCUCUCUCUCUCUCUCUCUCUCUCUCUCUCUCUCUCUCUCUUUUUUCCUAAAUUUGUUCUAGGUUUUUUUCUCCUUAUUUUAUCUCUAAUCAUUAUGUCAUCAUCGGAGGCCCCAGAUUUCUGACCUGCUGGAUCUGUUAUAGUUAUUAUGAAGUUUCAGGUCUUUUUAUACGUGUUUCUCUGCCAUGGGGACGUUUAGGUCAGUGUUCUGGAUGUUAAGUGAACCACGUUGCUGUUACGUUCGACGUAUUACGACCUUUAAUCCUAAUCCAGGUUAAAGAAAGAGACGUGUUAUCGGACCAAGAAGAAUUUUGUAUGUAGUGAUCCGUCCAAACUUUCAGGACGAUUAUGAACACGUACUGUAUUAACAGGUUAAAGGGUGAAUCUCAAUAUCGUGUCCUUCUGCAAACAUCAGUAUCACAGAGUUUAAUAUCGCCAUAUGGAUUAACAACCGAUAUACUGUCCGACUCUCCAGGAUAUCAGCCUUGUGUUUUUACUGCCACAUUUCCUCAGACAAUAAAACACACAGACUGAUUUAAUUCCUCAAA